GUUAAUGGGUGAUAGCGUGCCUUUUGUAGAAUGAACCGGCGAGUUACGAUUUGUUGCAAGGUUAAGCGGAAAAAGCGGAGCCGUAGCGAAAGCGAGUCUGAAUAGGGCGCAUAAGUAACAGGUCGUAGACCCGAAACCAGGUGAUCUACCCAUGUCCAGGAUGAAGGUAAGGUAAUACUUACUGGAGGUCCGAACCCACGCACGUUGAAAAGUGCGGGGAUGAGGUGUGGGUAGCGGAGAAAUUCCAAUCGAACUUGGAGAUAGCUGGUUCUCUCCGAAAUAGCUUUAGGGCUAGCCUCGAGGUAAAGAGUCAUGGAGGUAGAGCACUGUUUGGACUAGGGGCCCUUCUCGGGUUACCGAAUUCAGAUAAACUCCGAAUGCCAUGUACUUAUACUCGGGAGUCAGACUGCGAGUGAUAAGAUCCGUAGUCGAAAGGGAAACAGCCCAGACCACCAGUUAAGGUCCCCAAAUAUAUGUUAAGUGGAAAAGGAUGUGGGGUUGCUUAGACAACCAGGAUGUUGGCUUAGAAGCAGCCACCAUUGAAAGAGUGCGUAAUAGCUCACUGGUCGAGUGACCCCGCGCCGAAAAUGUACCGGGGCUAAACAUAUUACCGAAACUGUGGAUGAACCUCUUUAGAGGUUCGUGGUAGGAGAGCGUUCUAAGGGCGGUGAAGUCAGACCGGAAGGACUGGUGGAGCGCUUAGAAGUGAGAAUGCCGGUAUGAGUAGCGAAAGAAGGGUGAGAAUCCCUUCCACCGAAUAUCUAAGGUUUCCUGAGGAAGGCUCGUCCGCUCAGGGUUAGUCGGGACCUAAGCCGAGGCCGAUAGGCGUAGGCGAUGGACAACAGGUAGAGAUUCCUGUAC
rnacentral:rRNA from 1 species